GGUUUCAUAGUGUAGUAGUUAUCACAUCUGCUUUACACGCAGAAGGUCCUGGGUUCAAUCCCCAGUGAAACCA
rfam:Larimichthys crocea isolate SSNF unplaced genomic scaffold scaffold374, whole genome shotgun sequence.